rnacentral:rRNA from 1 species
GACGAACGCUGGCGGCGUGCUUAACACAUGCAAGCCGAACGCUGAAGCUCAGCUUUUGUUGGGUGGAUGAGUGGCGAACGGGUGAGUAACACGUGAGUAACCUGCCUCCUUCUUUGGGAUAACGCCCGGAAACGGGUGCUAAUACUGGAUAUUCACUGGUCUUCGCAUGGGGGUUGGUGGAAAGGGUUUUUCUGGUGGGGGAUGGGCUCGCGGCCUAUCAGCUUGUUGGUGGGGUGAUGGCCUACCAAGGCUUUGACGGGUAGCCGGCCUGAGAGGGUGACCGGUAACGUUGGGACGGAGAUACGGCCCAGACUCCUACGGGAGGCAGCAGUGGGGAAUAUUGCACAAUGGGCGCAAGCCUGAUGCAGCGACGCCGCGUGAGGGAUGGAGGCCUUCGGGUUGUGAACCUCUUUCGCUCAUGGUCAAGCCGCAACAAUGGUUGUGGUGAGGGUAGUGGGUAAAGAAGCGCCGGCUAACUACGUG